CUUGCUUUGGUCAGUUGUAUAUUGAAUGGCGCUACAAUUAACUACUACUGCCAAUAAGUCUGCAGUAAUUAAGAUUAACAUGUUAACAGUUAAUUUGAUUAGUAGGGGCUAGUUAGUUGAGGGAAAAGGGGUCAGAACUAGCGCAUCUUUGAAGGAUCUCGACAUAUGCUACAAUAUUUUUA